AGGCGCCGAGAGCGAGCGAGGGCUGUGAGGACUGCCAGCAUGCUGUCACCUCUCAGUAUAAUUUAAGAUCAACCCUAAUUGAAAAUACUAUAUUUUGAAGGGUCACGUUUCUCUUUAGAUUACACACAGUGUCUUGUGAUACUGCCUCUGGUCAGCUGAUUUCUCCUUGCCUCAUUCCAACUUCUUUUGUCAGAAAAUUCUUCAAGAUUGCCACAUUCUUUCACAAUAAUAUGACUUUUCUCCAAGCGUUUGCACCUCCACGACCUGCACAAGUCAUGGUUUUGUUUGCUUCCUUGCUCUUGGAUGUGAUUCUGAUCUCUGGCCCUUGGACAUCUGGUUAGUUCUGGUCAGUUCCCACCCUGGACCAGCCCCAGAGAUUACACAGGAUGAAAGAUAUCUCACCAGCACAAGGGAGGUGGGAAGAGAACAUGGAAGUCAAGCACCUUUUUAAAAGAUUUGAAAUGGAAGCUGUGCACAUGACUGUGGAUCAUACCUCUCAUUCACGGCCACAUACAGCUGCAAGUCUCUACGCUUAUGGCCAUACAGCUCAGCCAAAAGGGGUGUAUGUGGGAAGUUCUGUUAAUAAAAAGAGGAAGGGGAGAAUAAAUAAUAGUAGGGGACAAUAACAUUCAAUUUAAUAUAUACAUUGAAUCAAGGAAUACUUCACCACAAUAACCACUAAAAGAUACA
rnacentral:lncRNA from 1 species